rnacentral:rRNA from 1 species
UUAAGCUAAGAAGGGCUUACGGUGGAUGCCUAGGCGCCAAAUGCCGAAGAAGGACGUGGGACACUGCGAAAAGCCUCGGGGAGCCGUGUACAGGCGUUGAUCCGGGGAUAUCCGAAUGGGGAAACCCGCCGUUGCGAACCAACGGCAUCUUUCAUCUGAACCCAUAGGGUGAAAGAGGGGAACCUGGGGAACUGAAACAUCUCAGUACCCAGAGGAAAAGAGAACAUUCCCUGAGUAGUGGCGAGCGAAAGGGGAGCAGCCCAAACCGUUCUGGGCAACCGGAGCGGGGUUGAAGGACCUGGCAAAUGGGAGUGAGAAAACGGGCCGUUAGCAGAAAGGUGUGGGAAAGCCUACCAAAGAAGGUAACAGUCCUGUAAGUGAAAGCGGGCCGUCUCCCGCCGGGCACCUGAGUACUACCGGGCACGCUAAUCCGGUAGGAAGCUGGGGAGUCCACUCUCCAAGGCUAAAUACAUUUGGCGACCGAUAGUGAACAAGUACCGUGAGGGAAAGGUGAAAAGUACCCCAGUGAGGGGAGUGAAAUAGAACCUGAAACCGUAAGCUUACAAGCAGUCGAAGGGCUAAUGGCGUGACUGUGCACCGGUGAAAGCCGGAAGCGCGGCGCUAGGCCUGACGGCGUGCCUCUUGGAGAAUGAGCCUGCGAGUUAAUCUUUGUGGCGAGGUUAAGGGAGAGACACCCGAAGCCGUAGCGAAAGCGAGUCUGAAGAGGGCGUAUAGUCGCAAGGAUUAGACACGAAACCAGGUGAGCUACCCAUGGCCAGGGUGAAGCGAGUCUAACCGCUCGUGGAGGCCCGAACCCACUAAUGUUGCAAAAUUAGGGGAUGAGCUGUGGGUAGGGGUGAUAUGCCAAACGAACCUGGAGAUAGCUUGUUCUCCCCGAAAUAGCUUUAGGGCUAGCGUCAUGUGUUCAGUACCGGAGGUAGAGCACUGGAUGAGCUAGGGGGCUUACUGCUUACCGAACUCAACCAAACUCCGAAUGCCGGUACUCCAGAGCAUGGCAGUCGGACUACGGGAGAUGAGUUUCGUGGUCAAAAGGGAAACAGCCCAGAUCAUCGGCUAAGGUCCUCAAGUCCAGGCUAAGUGGGAAACGAUGUGGGAUUACACGGACAACCAGGAGGUUGGCUUAGAAGCAGCCACCCUUGAAAGAGUGCGUAAUAGCUCACUGGUCAAGUGAUCCUGCGCGGAAAAUAUAACGGGGCUAAGCCUGGCGCCGAAGCCAUGGGUCCUGGUCGUAAGACCGGGGCGGUAGGGGAGCGUUCUGUUCGCGGCGAAGGUCGACCGGAAGGACGGCUGAAGCGGGCAGAAGUGAGAAUGCAGGCAUGAGUAGCGUAAAACACGUGAGAACCGUGUUCGCCGUAAGUCUAAGGUUUCCGACGGCAGGUCGAUCCGCGUCGGGUUAGUCGGUCCUUAGCCGAGGCCGGAAGGCGUAGGCGAUGGAUAUCCGGUCAACAUUCCGGAACCACUGAAGAGGAGCGAAGGGGAAAGCAGCGAGGUAGGCCAGCCCACGAUUGGUUGAGUGGGUGUAAGCGUGUAGGUGUUGAAGCUGGUAGGGAAAACCGCCGGCCGAGCCGAGGCGCGAAAGCGAGCCCCUGAGGCGGAAGUGGUUGAGCCUUACUGCCGAGAAAAGCCUCUAAGCGAUGACUCUUGAGUGACCGUACCGCAAACCGACACUGGUAGACGGGUAGAGAAUACCAAGGCGAACGGGAGAACCUUCGUUAAGGAAUUAGGCAAAUUAGCCCCGUAACUUAGGGAUAAGGGGUGCCCUGCUGCGUGAAAUGUGAACAUAUGGAGCGUGGCGGGGUCGCAGUGAAAGGGCUCUAGUGACUGGUUAACAAAACCACAGGUCUCUGCGAAGCCGAAAGGCGAUGUAUAGGGGCUGACGCCUGCCCGGUGCCGGAACGUUAAGGGGAGGGGUUAGCGUAAGCGAAGCUCAGAACCGAAGCCCCGGUGAACGGCGGCCGUAACUAUAACGGUCCUAAGGUAGCGAAAUUCCUUGUCGGGUAAGUUCCGACCCGCACGAACGGUGUAACAACUAGAGCACUGUCUCAACGAAGGACCCGGUGAAAUUGAAAUAGGCGUGAAGAUGCGUCUUACCCGCAGCAGGACAAAAAGACCCCGUGGAGCUUUACUGCAGCUUGGCAUUGAGUUUGGGCAUAGUCUGUGUAGGAUAGGUGGGAGGCUGUGAAGCUGGGGCGUCAGCCUCGGUGGAGCCGACAGUGAAAUACCACCCUGACUCUGUCUAGACCCUAACCCCACACCGUAAACCGGGUGGGGGACCGUGCCAGGUGGGCAGUUUGACUGGGGCGGUCGCCUCCUAAAAGGUAACGGAGGCGCCCAAAGGUUCCCUCAGGCUGAAUGGAAACCAGCCGGAGAGUGUAAAGGCACAAGGGAGCUUGACUGCAAGACCAACGCGUCGAGCAGAGUCGAAAGACGGGCUUAGUGAUCCCACGGUACCGGGUGGAAGGGCCGUGGCUUACCGGAUAAAAGCUACCCCGGGGAUAACAGGCUGGUGAAGUCCAAGAGUUCACAUCGACGACUUCGCUCGGCACCUCGAUGUCGGCUCAUCGCAUCCUGGGGCUGGACAAGGUCCCAAGGGUCGGGCUGUUCGCCCGUUAAAGCGGUACGCGAGCUGGGUUCAGACCGUCGUGAGACAGGUCGGUCUCUAUCCGCUGUGGGCGUAAGGGAUUUGAGAGGAGCUGCCCCUAGUACGAGAGGACCGGGGUGGACAGACCGCUGGUGUGCCAGUUGUCGUGCCAACGGCAUCGCUGGGUAGCUAUGUCUGGCAGAGAUAACCGCUGAAAGCAUCUAAGUGGGAAACUCGCCUCAAGAUGAGAUCCCUCAUCCGCAAGGAGUAAGGCCGCAGGGAGACUACCUGCUUGAUAGGCGGCAGGUGUAAGUGCAGCAAUGCAUUCAGCCAAGCCGUACUAAUGGCCGAGGGCUUAACCUG